rnacentral:rRNA from 1 species
GGAUAACCUACCCUUAGGACUGGGAUAACCCUGGGAAACUGGGGCUAAUACCGGAUAGGCAAUUUUUCCUGGAAUGGUUUUUUGUUUAAAUGUUUUUUCGCCUAAGGAUGGGUCUGCGGCCGAUUAGGUAGUUGGUUAGGUAACGGCUUACCAAGCCAUUGAUCGGUACGGGUUGUGAGAGCAAGAGCCCGGAGAUGGAACCUGAGACAAGGUUCCAGGCCCUACGGGGUGCAGCAGGCGCGAGACCUCCGCAAUGUGAGGAAUCGCGACGGGGGGAUCCCAAGUGCCAUUCUUAACGGGAUGGCUUUUCAUUAGUGUAAAGAGCUUUUGGAAUAAGGGCUGGGCAAGACCGGUGCCAGCCGCCGCGGUAACACCGGCAGCUCUAGUGGUAACAAUUUUUAUUGGGCCUAAAGCGUCCGUAGCCGGUUUAAUAAGUCUCUGGUGAAAUCCUGCAGCUUAACUGUGGGAAUUGCUGGAGAUACUAUUAGACUUGAGACCGGGAGAGGUUAGAGGUACUCCCAGGGUAGAGGUGAAAUUCUGUAAUCCUGGGAGGACCGCCUGUUGCGAAGGCGUCUAACUGGAACGGUUCUGACGGUGAGGGACGAAAGUUAGGGGCGCGAACCGGAUUAGAUACCCGGGUAGUCCUAACUGUAAACGAUGCGGACUUGGUGUUGGGGUGGCUUUGAGCUGCUUCAGUGCCGAAAGGGAAGCUGUUAAGUCCGCCGCCUGGGAAG